GUCACAUUCGUCUAAUGGUUAGGACACCGGGUUUUCAUCCCGGCAAUAGGGGUUCGAUUCCCCUAUGUGAUA
rnacentral:tRNA from 5 species